rnacentral:rRNA from 1 species
GACGAACGCUGGCGGCGUGCUUAACACAUGCAAGUCGAGCGGAGCGGCGAACGGGUGAGUAACGCGUGAGUAACUGACCCCCUCUCUGGGAUAACAGUUGGAAACGGCUGCUCAUACCGGAUAGUGGGGGAUGACUCGCGUCCAAUCGGCUGGUUGGUGGGGUAUUGGCCUACCAAGGCGACGACGGGUAGCCGGCCUGGGAGGGGGACCGGCCACAUUGGUCUACGGGAGGGACCAGAAGCCUACGGGAGGCAACAGUGGGGAAUAUGACACAAUGGGGCAAAGUCUGAUGCAGCGGUCCGGGUGCGUGAUGCCGGCCUGCGGGUGGUAAACCGCUUUCAGCCAUGACGCGGUAGUGGCAGAAGAAGCACCGGCUAACUACGUGCCAGCAGCCGCGGUAAUAC